rnacentral:rRNA from 1 species
UACGUAGGGUGCAAGCGUUGUCCGGAAUUAUUGGGCGUAAAGAGCUCGUAGGCGGUCUGUCGCGUCGGCUGUGAAAUCCCGGAGCUCAACUCCGGGUCUGCAGUCGAUACGGGCAAACUGGAGUACUGCAGGGGAGACUGGAAUUCCUGGUGUAGCGGUGAAAUGCGCAGAUAUCAGGAGGAACACCGGUGGCGAAGGCGGUUCUCUGGGCCUGUACUGACGCUGAGGAACGAAAGCGUGGGGAGCGAACAGG